CCCCAAAUUCCCGUUUUUCCCCCCAAAUCCCCGUUUCUCUCCCCAAAUUCCCAUUUCUUCUCCAAAAUUACCGUUUUUUCCCCAAAAUUCCCAUUUCUCUCCCCAAAUUCCCAUUUUUCUCCCCAAAUUCCCGUUUUUCCCCCCAAAUUCCCGUUUUUUCCCCAAAUUCCCAUUUCUCUCCCCAAAUUCGGGUUCUUUUUCCCCAAAUUCCCGUUUAUUUUCCCCAAAUUCCCGUUUUUUCCCCCAAAUUUCCUGUUUUUCCCCCAAAUUCCCGUUUUUUCCCCCAAAUUCCCGUUUUUUCCCCAAUUUCCCCUUUUUUCCCUCCCCAAAUUUCCCCUUUUUUCCCCCAAAUUUCCCCUUUUUCCCCCCGAAUUCCCAUUUUUUCCCAAAGUUCCCGGUUUCCUCCCCAAAUUCCGGUUCUUUUUCCCAAAUUCCCGUUUCUCUCCCCAAAUUCCCAUUUUUCUCCCCAAAUUCCCAUUUUUCUCCCCAAAAUUCCCGUUUCUCUCCCCAAAUUCCCGUUUCUCUCCCCAAAUUUCCCGUUUUCUCCCCAAAUUCCCGUUUUUCUCCCCAAAUUCCGGUUUUUCUCCCCAAAUUCCCGUUUUUCCCCCCCCAAAUUCCCCUUUUUUCCCAAAAUUCCCGUUUCUCUCCCCAAAUUCCCGUUUCUCUCCCCAAAUUCUCGUUUUUUCCCGAAAUUCCCGUUUCUCUCCCCAAAUUCGGGUUCUCUCUCCCCAAAUUCCCGUUUAUUUUCCCCAAAUUCCCGUUUCUCUCCCCAAAAUUCCCGUUUCUCUCCCCAAAAUUCCCGUUUCUCUCCCCAAAUUCCGGUUCUUUUUCCCGAAAUUCCCGUUUUUCUCCCCAAAUUCGGGUUCUUUCUCCCCAAAUUCCCCUUUUUUCCCCCCAAAUUCCCGUUUCUCUCCCCAAAUUCCCAUUUCUUCCCCAAAAUUACCGUUUUUUCCCCAAAAUUCCCAUUUUUCCCCCCCAAAUUCCCAUUUAUUUUCCCCAAAUUUCCCGUUUUUCUCCCCAAAUUCCGGUUCUUUUUCCCGAAAUUGCCGUUUUUCUCCCCAAAUUCCCGUUUUUCUCCCCAAAUUCCGGUUCUUUCUCCCAAAAUUCCCGUUUAUUUUCCCCAAAUUCCCGUUUUUUCCCCAAAUUCCCGUUUCUCUCCCCAAAUUCCCGUUUCUCUCCCCAAAUUCCGGUUCUUUUUCCCAAAAUUCCCGUUUUUCUCCCCAAAUUCCGGUUCUUUCUCCCCAAAUUCCGGUUCUUUCUCCCAAAAUUCCCAUUUAUUUUCCCCCAAAUUCCCAUUUUUCCCUCCCAAAUUCCCGUUUCUCUCCCCAAAUUCCCAUUUUUCCCUCCCAAAUUCCCGAUUUUCCCCCAAAAUUCCCGUUUUUUCCCAAAAUUCCCGUUUCUCUCCCCAAAUUCCCGUUUUUUCCCCAAAUUCCCGUUUCUCUCCCCAAAUUCCCGUUUCUCUCCCCAAAUUCCGGUUCUUUUUCCCGAAAUUCCCGUUUUUCUCCCCAAAUUCCGGUUCUUUCUCCCCAAAUUCCCAUUUUUCCCCCCCAAAUUCCCGUUUUUUCCCCCAAAUAUCCCCUUUUUUUCCCAAAAUUCCCGUUUUUCUCCCCAAAUUCCGGUUCUUUUUCCCAAAAUUCCCGUUUUUCUCCCUAAAUUCCAGUUCUUUUUACCCAAAUUCCGGUUCUUUCUCCCCAAAUUCCCGUUUCUCUCCCCAAAUUUCCCGUUUUUUCCCAAAAUUGCCGUUUCUCUCCCCAAAUUCGGGUUGUUUUUCCCAAAUUCCGGUUCUUUUUCCCGAAAUUGCCGUUUUUCUCCCCAAAUUCCAGGGCGAUCCGGGCGCUCCCGGCUCCCGCGGCUCCGACGGCUCCGAGGGCCCCAAGGGGCGCUCGGGACCCCCCGGAGAGCCCGGGGAGGCCGGAAUUGGGGGGGAAAAGGUGAAAAUGGGGAUUUUGGGAAAAAAUGGGGAUUUUGGGGGGAAAAUGGGGAUUUUGGGGGGAAAAUGGGGAUUUUGGGUGGAAAAAUGGGGAUUUUGGGG
ensembl:lncRNA